rnacentral:misc_RNA from 1 species
GAAGAAUAACUGUUGUGAUUUCAUUGGACAAGAAUUCAAAUUUCAAGGAGCAUUUUGUCAAUAAAGGGGCCCGCAUAUCUAAUAAUUGGAUCGAUAGUGCUGCGAUUUGGAGUAUUUGCCAGGCAACACAGGCUACUAUAUUGAUGAGCAGACAACAAAGACAGCACAACUGUUCAUGUGGAUUAAAGACAACCAUCUUAGCUUCGAUUUGAGCUCAUUUCCAACAAUUCACAAUGGAAUUACUGCAUUCCCAUCUUGCAGAAGGAGGGUUAGGGAAAAUAAGGAAGAAAUCAUUGCAAAACUGUAUAGAAGCAUAACAAAUAUCAAGAUACAUCAAUAAAAGCAUAAAAAACUAUAGGACAUCUCAUGCGAAAUAAUAAAUAAUCCGACAACACAGUUCGAAAGUUCGAACAUAAAAAGAAUCAAUAAGAAGCCGAGGCAGCAAUCCCAUUAAGGGGUGUAAAUUGAUGUAAAUACAAAUUUUCUAGGAUGAAGAGCAGCAAGGUUUCUUAGCGUUACCCUCAGACCCUCCAACCACAAUGGUCUUCCCCUCUUUGAUGUUGGCAGGUGCUGGUUCUUCUGAUGAAAGUGAUUUCUUACUAAUAAUCCGGUAUAUUUCAGAAAGGAUUGUCUGGAAAGCCUUCUCAACAUUUGUUGCUUCAAGAGCAGAUGUUUCAAUGAAUGAAAGUCCUUCUCUCUCUGCGUAACUUUGAGCAUCCUCGGUGGCCACUGCUCUGAGAUGUUUCAGAUCAGUCUUGUUCCCAAUUAGCAUGAUCACAAUAUUUGCAUCCGCAUGGUCCCUCAGCUCCUUAAGCCAGCGACUGACAUUUUCAAAUGUUGUUGGUUUUGUAACAUCAUACACUAGAAGGGCUCCAAGAGCACCUCUAUAAUAGGCACUGGUUAUUGCUCUGUAUCGUUCCUGCCCAGCCGUGUCCCAUAUUUGAGCUUUGACAGUCCUUCCUUCAACCUGAGUAUAUAACUUCAUCUUUUUAGCAGUACAAAAAGAUGAUGCUGUUACAAGUAAUAAAUCUCACUGAAUUUUUUUUAUGAACUCUGAGGGAUAAAUCUUGGAUACUUGCCUUGCAUAAAACUAUCUAAAUUGAGCGAAUAAGUUAAUUUCCAAAUUUUGUACUUAGGUAACAGAAAAGCAAAUGCACCAGUAGACAAAAGAGAAUAAUCCCUCUUCCCCCAUAAGUAACAUGGCUUGAUUGCUUUGAGAAUAUGUAAGAAUAAGGAAUUCCAUAAAAUUUACAUUGAUUCAAUAAAUUCUGAUCGAUGCUUCAUUUUUCAGAGGAAGUUUUGAGAAACACAUAUAGGCCAAGAAGGCAGUGCCUCAAAGCUUCAAGCAUAAUGCACCUAAGUCCUUAUGGCUAAAAACUCUUCCAGAAGUUGGGGCCCCAAGCAUUAAACAGCCUGCUGACUUAACAGCUUAGGAUCAAAUAUAAAAAUAUCCCAGCAUCUUACAAAAGUGAAAUUAAUUUCAUCUGUCUUCCAUUAAUACCAUAUCAACUUCAAAAUAUGCCAAGAAAAAUAAUAAUGAAUAUACCUAUAAAACUCAUUUAUAAGAGUGGAAAAACUAAGGACUUAAAACUGAGCAUUGGUGCAAUUCAAUUCCAAUGAGGGAUUUGUUAGUGUCAUCCCCCUCAGAUUAAUCACCAUCACUGCUCCUCCAUUUUUUUAGUAGUAAGAAAAUUAACUUCUAUUGUAACUUUCCCUAUCACAACAAAGCAAUACUGAUUUCUUUGGUAACAAUACUGCCAUGCCCUCCCACCGGACAAGUAUGAGCAUGACUAAAGAAACAGGCCUAAGGGCUUAAGGCUGAUGACGGAUCUGGUGCAAACUUACUGUAAAUAAGCUUUUGUUUGCCAAUCCCUAAUAACCACAAACUAGUAACUGAUCUAUAUACAUCAUCAAAUCAUUUUUUUUCUACUCUGCUACAUUUUUCAUAAUUUAUAGUCAAAACAUUAUUAAACAAAAUCACAAUUCAAACCAUCCUGCUUUAAUACUUCCACCCUGAUUACGACGUUAAUUUAGCCUAUUUAUAGAAAUAUAUCCAUGAUUCCAACUGUGUGCAAAUUACAAUAAUCCUCUCACCAAUUUUAGAUAAUUGUUUUUAAAUUCUAGCUACCAUCAAAUAUCUUUUGAUGGUACUCCUUUUACUGAGAUUCUCUCAAUAUUAUCUUGACAUUGUCCACAUCAGUUUCCAUGCUAGUAGAAAUCUGAGCAGGGGCAGGAGUAAUGGUUUCCAAUGUUCAUUUUUGGAAGGCCUUUCAUUGAGACCAACUGUGUUAUCCCAAUAAAAGUUCCCAUUUUCUGAUUUCUCUAUCUUUACUAAUUAAAAAAGUUGCUCCAUUUGCAAUCACAUAUCAUAAAAUUCCAAUCAAUUGGCAGCAAAGAUCAUGAAUACAAACUCAAAAAAUAUAAUAAUUAAACAAAACUAGAUCUGUUACAUGUACUAUAAGAGAAAUAGAAGAAGAUAAAAUUCAAAACUUGACAAAAUAAAAAAUUCAGAUUCGAGAUCACAAUCAACAUGCUUAUAAAUGAUAAAUCAUUACCCAUAAAAAAACAAGUCAGAUCGAAUAAAAAAAACUGAAAUUCAACAGCAAAAGAUAAAAAAAAUUUACUCAGAAAAUUACUGCCACAGACUCAAAUCGAACUAGAUCAACUAAAAUACUACUAAAAUCAUACUCACACUUUCAUACCCAGAAAAUUCAAGAGACAGAAAGUGUUUUAGAGAGAGAAUAGAGAAAGUACUUGAAGAGUACGAGUAGCAAAUUCGACACCAAUGGUGGACUUAGACUCCAAACAGAACUCGUUGCGAGUAAAUCUGGAAAGAAGAUUGGAUUUUCCUACGCCGGAAUCGCCGAUUAAUACGACCUUGAAAAGGUAAUCGUAUUCCUCGUCCGGUCUCCUCGCCAUUUCUUUCUAGACAGAGAAAAUCUCUGCUCCUAUAGAAUCGGUCGCUUUAAGAAAAGAAAAGGAGACAGAAGACGAA